ACCAUUGUGAGUAGUGCUCAGGAAAACAGAUUAAUGAGAUUAUUUCCUAGAUCUUUAUGUAACCAUCUCUUCUGAAAAAGUUAGUAUGCAAAUGCUUGAUUUUUACACUUGUAAAGCAAAUAAUGAAGCAGUUUCUCCCACUGGCAACUCAGAAAACAAGUAGAGAGAAGAGAAGUUCAGGCAUAAUAGUGUAACAAAAAGUCAUUUUUCCAAAGAGAACAGGCAAGGAGAUGUGACUAUUUUGUUGAGUCCUGGCUAAGAAAACAGGCAGUACUCUGCUUCAUUACAAGUAGCAUAGGAGCACCAGGAAUGUGCAGGUUUGGAUAAGGCAAUUUUGUGGCAGAAUUGAAAGUGGAGGAGGCUGAGACAGAC